UACGGGGGGGGCAAGCGUUGUUCGGAAUUACUGGGCGUAAAGGGCUCGUAGGUGGCCAACUAAGUCAGACGUGAAAUCCCUCAGCUUAACUGGGGAACUGCGUCUGAUACUGGAUGGCUUGAGAUUGGGAGAGGGAUGCGGAAUUCCAGGUGUAGCGGUGAAAUGCGUAGAUAUCUGGAGGAACACCGGUGGCGAAGGCGGCAUCCUGGACCGGCAUUGACGCUGAGGAGCGAAAGCUAGGGGAGCAAACGGG
rnacentral:rRNA from 1 species